AUGCAAGAAUACUUCGUGGACAAUCCAACAUAUCCGCCGCACCUCUUCCGGAGAAGGUGCCGAAUGCGCCGAUCCCUCUUUGUAAAAAUAGUGCAAGCUUGUGAGGCCAAUUGUCGGUAUUUUACUCAAAGAAGAAAUGUCGCGGGCUUGAAGGGAUUUAGUGCAUAUCAAAAAAUCUUGGUAGCUAUGCGGGUAAUUGCAUACGGCAUUCCAGCUGACUAUGCCGAUGAGUACCUUCGCAUUGGUGAAGAUACUACAACUGAGUCAGUGCGUAGGUGA
rnacentral:rRNA from 1 species